AUUUUCUGAUGUUUUAAAUUUAUAUUUUUUCCAGGAUCCUGUCUCAUUCAAUACAAAAGAACAAAGUUGCUCACAGAAUUAGCUAAUUUUCAAUAUUUUUGUUUUAGCUGAGUUGUUGAUUGUGUGGUUCAUUGAAGAAGACAACUGUGAUAAUAAGCUAGAUAAAGAUCUCAAGAUCCCAUAUGCGGUGGACCUCACAUUUAUGAAGACAAAAACCAGCAGUCCUCAAAGAGGUCUCCUGCAGCCCUCAGCAAGCGUAUUAUGGGAGCUGUCUCUUGAGUUUCACUCAGUGAAGUCAGCCCAUGGAUGCUUUUGUAAGUGGCUCUACAAGCGGCUGCAAGUUGGAGAAGACAAACUAAAUGGACUGUUAAGAUAUACGGAAAGAUGACUAGACCCUGGCCUGGGGUUUAGCUGACUGAACAGAUCCUGAGAAGUUUCACGGACUACAGAAUACGGUAUGAAUUGCUGAACAUACCAAGUAACAGAGUAAGAAAUUGACAAAAGUUAUAGAGAGCGCCCUGAGAGCAGGUGGGAUAUCACAGAUGGUUAAGGGGG
rnacentral:lncRNA from 1 species